GCUGGGUGUGGUGGUGCUUGCCUAUAAUCUCAGCAGCUUGGGAGGCUGAGAUAGGAGGAUUGCGAGUUCAAAGCCAGCCUCAGCAAUGGCGAGGCACUAAGCAACUCAGUGAGACCCUGUCUCUA
rnacentral:sRNA from 1 species